UUCAGUUGUCAUACAUGUCCUUUAUCACUUCAGUGACAUGAGUUUGAUAACGGCUUGUGAAAUUUUCUGCAGUCUAAAGUUUCAUGUUGUCUGCACAUGUACUUUCUUUGGAAACACAAUUUGUUUUGUCGAACUAUGGUGAAGAUAGUGACUCUGAUUGAUUCACAUAUUGUAUUGACAAAUGACUGUUGACAUUGCUUUUCAGUCUCCAAUAUUUCAGUGGGUCAUGCUUUGGAAAUGACAGUAAAUUUUUAUUACCCAACCCUUGAGUUGUUUUGUUUUUCAUUUACCCAACCUUUUACUUACUCAAAAUUUUGUUUACCCAACCCUUUUCUCUUCGGUGCCACCCCCCACCAUAAAUAAUGACCGGUCCCUAAUUUAUUUUUUCGUACUUUUCCGUCACCUUUAUCCUGUUGACUUUUGCGUGGUGAGUGCUGAAGACGACAGAUAGGAAAUCGCGCUUAUCUAAGGCUGCACAUGCGCAGGAAAGCUCUGAGGUUGAGGCCAGUUCUUGCCAGUGAGCUUCGCACGCAGUAAGCCAAGAAACCUUGCAGACGAGGACGGUACGAAGUCGACGUUAAUAGACAGAUUUAGAUCGAGGACGUCAAAGACGACGUGAAAAUGGCUUGUUGUGCCCAUGUAUGGAUAUAUGCCACGCCAUUUGACGUCAUUUCACGUCGUCUUUGACGUCCGCGUCCUCGAUCUAAAUCUGUCUAAUAAGCAUAUACGAUUGGAACGCGGCGACAAAAGCAAACUCGUUCAAAUAAAUUAUUGUGAAGAAAAGUCGUCGUCUAUUGUUCACUGUAUGAAUUUAAUAGAGUUUGAAGAGAUUUAAACAAAGGCUACUUGAAAUUAUUCUUUCGGAAAAACGAAUCAUAAACAUUGGUCAUUUUUGGUUCAAAAGCCAAUCAUAGACUGGUGAUGUAGGUCGUGAACGUUUGUUGUAGGUCAUUGAACGUUUUCGAAGUUAGGGAAGACGAGAACAAGGCAUAUGUUACAGAGCCAGACAAUUGUAGAGAACAAGGGGACAUGGUGAGAUCUUUGUGGCGAACAAGGGAACAAAGCCGGACAAUUGUAGGGAACAAGGGGACAUGGUGAGAUCUUUGUGGCGAACAAGGGAACAAAGCCGGACAAUUGUAGAGAACAAGGGGACACGUAAGGUCGGGGAACAAGGGACAUGAUGAGAUCUUUGUGGGGAACAAAGCCGGACAAUUGUAGAGAACAAGAAAACAUGUAAGGUUGGGGAACAAGAGAACAUAGUGAGAUCUUUGUCGGGAACAAGGCAACAAAAGAAAACGUUACAACUGAACAUGAGAUCCUCAACUAUGUCUGAACAAAGAGAUAUAAGUCAGAACACUUCCUAAUAUGACGAUGCUUUGGAUUGGCUUUAGUGAAACAAAAGUAACGAGUGUUUAUGUUCGAUCGUUCAUUAGAAAGAUGAUUUAUAUAGUGUGAUUCCUGGUCUUUAGAUAUUCUAAAUAAUUGUAUAAAGUCAGGGUGUCAAUCCUGGCGGGGAUAGGGGGACUCGCACUUUUUGACAAGGGUAAAUAAAUUCAUAUAAUAAUUUUCUAUAAUUGAUGUCUAUAGACCGGCACUGGAAAGGACUACAGUCCUUGGUUUGAAAACAUAGCUUCAAAAUACAGGUUACAAAGACAACUGACAGUCACAAAACUAUGCGGAAGCUGGAUUUCUCGAUGGCUGCUCGAUCAAAAAGGAUGCGUUUUUUUCUGAUGAAGGGCCUUUCAAACAUGGAGAAGCCAGUACAACUUUUUAAAGCUUUUUUUCUGUUUAAACUGAGUGGCUGGAAGUGGCAAGGAAUCUUCCGCAUGUAGAUGUAAAAUCACAUUCAAAUCGUCUGCACAGCUGGCCCCCCACAGUUUCAAAGAGACAUUAUUUUCAAGAAGCUAUAAAUAAAAUGUUAUUGUCUAGUAGUUUUCAAGUGUGUUUACCAAGGUAAUGUAAGCCGCUUUCCUUUCUAAGCGUGUCUCAACGUGUUACAGCAAGUUACAUCAAUCACUACAUAAUACUAGCUAGUGCAAUAUUAAUUAACUCAGAUCAUUUUCGUAAGUGUUAACAUCUCUCGACUUUUUUUUGUAAUCCAUGCUCUAAGUGGCUACGAGCAAGAUAAAGAAUGACAUGACUGGUGUUUCAGGAGGUACAUCAUCUGAGCUGCAACCACACAAUCAUAAGAUUUAUGAAACUGACUACCAUCUAUAGUCCCGUCUGAAACUCACCAAUAACUAUUAACUGUAUUCAAGCAAAUCGUGACAAGAUUCUUAUAACAACACGAGUUAUUCUUACAUGGUGGUAUUGUGCAACAAGUCUUGUAAUUUUUAAUUCCGCUUCCUGUGCAAGACAACAACAUUCAAAAUAGAAAGAAAUUGCGAAAAUAUGCAUCUUGAAAAUCCACUAUAGACAAGCAUGGGUGAAAAAUAAAGACAAAAUGAUACAUAUGGUUAUGGCUUUGAAAUAAAGUCGAAAGAAACCGUGAGAAACUGCGAAAUGGUAGGGAUACAACGACCUGUCAACUACAUUCAUGUGAAACAUGUUAAAGAGUAACCAGAACUGAUCCGGAAAGACUUUAUAACCAUGCCGGCUUGUAAAACUGAAAGAUUCAAACGUAGUCCGCUGGUGUGUGCAAUUAAAUGAUACAAUUAUAGUCUAAAUUCGUCGAUUGUAAGAUUUGUUUGUAACUAUACAUUGCCAGUCAUUGGUUAUAUAGAUUAUAAGUUGCAAAUAGUAGUCAUAGUAUAUAUUAACGUAUUUAGUAUGUAAUAUUUUUAGAAAAUAACGUUUAACUUUCUCAAACUGUAAACACGUUAUAAUCAAGUUAGCGUGGUUGCUAUUGAUAUGUGGAUAUAAACACCAUUAUUAUUAUUAUUAUUAUUAUUAUAAAUACAAGGAGAACUUCGACGAAGGUGCGUCGUCUGGAUUGGAAGUUAGUAUUUUGUCUUGAAUAUCUUAGAUUUUCAAGAUGCAUUAUUUUCUGAAUUCGCUUUAUUUUCUAUCUUUUUCGAAUUGUCGGCUGAAAAAAUUAACUAAACAAACAUUUGCAUUUCGAUUCAAUUAAGUUAGGAUUAUGUGGACUUAAAAAGUUGUUGAGUUAUUGCACCGUAGGGUACCAUGCGGUAUAUGGUACAUCAACAUUCUAUUAAUACCAUGCAAAAAUAAUACAGUACAAGCCUGCUAUCUACUACGCGUUGACGAUUGACUUUGACUGUUUCAACUGCGAACUUCAGGCCGUUCAUAUGAUGUUAUAUGCCAACCCUAUUGUGUUUAAGAUGUUUGAGGCGAAAUCAUUAUUAUUCGUAUAAUCGUAUUAAAUUUUUGGACGCUGUCUGGUUCAAAAGAUUUAUUUGUUGACAUAGACAGACAAAAAUAAUUGUAAACCAUUGCAAUAUCUCGUUGUAACUUUAAUAACAGACAGAUUUAGAGAAGACGACGAGGCAAACACGACGACACUCUAUUUCAUCUCAAGAUUGAGAGCUAGGAAUUUAUUACUGUAAUAAAUUGAAGCUUUUUAAUUCAAAAUAAAAUGACCUUACAAAACGGCGACGUUCGAGAAAAACGAUCCGCGGUGUCUGCUAAUUAAGAGACAGAUUUUAUGUAACUCCUCCAACGUCGUAAUAAGCGUUCACCUUGCUCCAAUGACGUGAAAAUCUUCGUUGUAUUCAGAUUGCCAACGUUGUUGAGUACACCACUGGGGAAAAUUUUCAGACAUUUUGUUUUGAAUUGAAGAAUUUCUUUGUCUUGAAGGUGCGUCUAAGCGUCUUCACGUUGUGUUCUCUAAAUCAGUCUCAUAUACCUUCUAAGGCCCACACAGACCGGACGCGAUUCGGCAACGCGACUUUUCAGUUUUCAAAAACAAAUAAAACCGUCAACGGAUAAAACUUUUGCAAGAUAUGCAGACCAAAUACCUAAAAUUGCUUAAGUCGGGUUCCGAAUAUUUGAAAAACAUUGAAAAAUAUUAAAGUUAAAUGUCAUUGAAAACUGAAAAUUCGCGUCGCGUUGCCAAAUCGCGUCUGAUCUGUAUGGGCCUUAAAGGUUGCAGACUGUCAGCCGAAAGCUCGUAAAAUUAAUAAAUAUUUUGAAGCAGAAGAAGGCGUUCAACCCUACGAGGAUGUAACUCUACACUGUCACUGGAUCCCCAGGUUUGUAGGAUUAGUAAUUUACAUUUCAUUACAAAAUUGCAGUUCCACUCAAUGACAUGUCAGAAAGCACC